rfam:Schistosoma rodhaini strain Burundi genome assembly, scaffold: SROB_scaffold0003695
GCAUUGCUGAGGAGUCCCAUAAUAGGACGAAACGGCCUUUCAAUGC